rnacentral:rRNA from 1 species
AAUUUUGGACAAUGGGGGAAACCCUGAUCCAGCCAUCCCGCGUGUAUGAUGAAGGCCUUCGGGUUGUAAAGUACUCUUGGCAGAGAAGAAAAGGUAUCCCCUAAUACGGGAUACUGCUGACGGUAUCUGCAGAAUAAGCACCGUCUAUCUACGUGCCAGCAGCAGAGGUAAUACGUAGGGUGCAAGCGUUAAUCGGAAUUACUGUGUGUAAAGCGUGUGUAGGCGGUUCGGAAAGAAAUAUGUGGAAGCCCAGGGCUCAACCUUGGAAGUGCAUUUUUAACUGCCGAGCUAGAGUGUGUCAGAGGGGGGUAGAAUGCCACGUGUAGCAGUGAAAUGCGUAGAUAUGUGGAGGAAGACCGAUAGCGAAGGCAGCCCCCUGGGAUAAUACUGACGCUCAUGCACGAAAGCGUGGGUAGCAAACAGG